UCUCAGUACAGACUGUAUUAAAGUGAAACCGCAAAAGGCUCAGUAAACCAGUUUUAAUUUACUAGAGUAAACUUGACUGUGCUUGGAUAACUGUGGUAAUUCUAGAGCUAAUACAUGCAAAAACGCCCCUGGCCACCCAUGGUUAGGGCGCUUUUAUUUGAUCAAGACCAUUCGCCCGGUUCUCCGGGCGUCUACUUGACGAAUCAAAAUAACACAUCAGAUCGCAUGGUCCCCGUACCGGCGACUUAUCUUUCAAAUGCCUGACUUAUCAACUUACGAUGGUAGACUCUGUGUCUACCAUGGCUCUUACGGGUAACGGGGAAUCAGGGUUCGAUUCCGGAGAGGGAGCCUGAGAAACGGCUACCACAUCCAAGGAAGGCAGCAGGCACGCAAAUUACCCACUCCCGGCACGGGGAGGUAGUGACAAAAAAUAACGAUGCGGGACUCGAUUAGAGGCUCCGCAAUCGGAAUGAGUACACUUUAAACACUUAUUCAAAAGUCAAUUGGAGGGAAAGUCUGGUGCCAGCAGCCGCGGUAAUUCCAGCUCCGAUAGCGUAUAUUAAAGUUGUUGCGGUUAAAAAGCUCGUAGUUGGUUCUGCGUCCCACGCUGUCGGUACACCGCACGUCGGUGACACUGGCACGCCGUGGUAUGUCCUGUCGGUGGCGGCCGAGGCCUAUGCGCGAUGGGCUUCCCAGAGCGCACUGGCGCCACUCGGCCGCCGGCUUAUAUCCUACCGCGGUGCUCUUCAUUGAGUGUCGAGGUAGGCCGACACGUUUACUUUGAACAAAUUAGAGUGCUUAAAGCAGGCCAAAACCUCUGCCUAAAUAGUGGUGCAUGGAAUAAUGGAACAGGACCUUGGUUCUAUUUUGUUGGUCUUAGGAACACAAGGUAAUGAUCAAUGUGGACAGGCGGGGGCAUUCGUAUUGCGGCGUUAGAGGUGAAAUUCUUGGAUCGUCGCAAGACGCACUAGAGCGAAAGCAUUUGCCAAGUAUGUCCUAAUUGAUCAAGAACGAAAGACGAUGCCAGCCAGCGAUCCGCCGAUGUUCCUCCGAUGACUCGGCGGGGAGCUUUCCCCGGGAAACCAAAGCUUUUGGGUUCCGGGGGAAGUAUGGUUGCAAAGCUGAAACUUAAAGGAAUUGACGGAAGGGCACCACAAGGAGUGGAGCCUGCGGCUUAAUUUGACUCAACACGGGAAACCUCACCAGGUCAGGACAUUGGAAUGAUUGACAGAUUGACAGCUCUUUCUUGAUUCAGUGGGUAGUGGUGCAUGGCCGUUCUUAGUUGGUGGAUCGAUUUGUCUGGUCAAUUCCGAUAACGAACGAGACUCUAGCCUAUUAACUAGACGUUCCCGGUAUCGUUGCUACCGGCGAAAAAUUAUCUUCUUAGGGGGACAGGCGGCUCCCAGCCGCACGAGAUUGAGCAAUAACAGGUCUGUGAUGCCCUUAGAUGUCCUGGGCCGCACGCGCGCUACACUGAAGGAAUCAGCGUGUACUUUCCCUUGGCCGAAAGGCCCGGGUAACCCGCUGAACCUCCUUCGUGCUAGGAAUUGGGGCUUGCAAUUGUUCCCCAUGAACGAGGAAUUCCGAGUAAGCGCGAGUCAUAAGCUCGCGUUGAUUAAGUCCCUGCCCUUUGUACACACCGCCCGUCGCUACUACCGAUUGAAUGAUUUAGUGAGGUCUUCGGACCGGCGGUUUUGACCUGACCGGCUCUGUCGGUUUUGACAAACGCUGGAAAGAUGACCAAACUUGAUCAUUAGAG
rnacentral:rRNA from 1 species